AAACGAAUUCGCCCUUCCCAGUAGUCAUAUGCUUGUCUCAAAGAUUAAGCCAUGCAUGUCUAAGUAUAAGCAAUUAUACAGCGAAACUGCGAAUGGCUCAUUAUAUAAGUUAUCGUUUAUUUGAUAGUACCUUACUACUUGGAUAACCGUGGUAAUUCUAGAGCUAAUACAUGCUAAAAAUCCCGACUUCGGAAGGGAUGUAUUUAUUAGAUUAAAAACCAAUGCCCUUCGGGGCUCACUGGUGAUUCAUAAUAACUUCUCGAAUCGCAUGGCCUUGCGCCGGCGAUGGUUCAUUCAAAUUUCUUCCCUAUCAACUUUCGAUGCUAGAGUAGUGUUCUAGCAUGGUUACAACGGGUAACGGAGGGUUAGGGCUCGACCCCGGAGAAGGAGCCUGAGAAACGGCUACUACAUCCAAGGAAGGCAGCAGGCGCGCAAAUUACCCAAUCCCGACUCGGGGAGGUAGUGACGAUAAAUACUGAUACAGGGCUCUUUUGGGUCUUGUAAUUGGAAUGAGUACAAUUUAAAUCCCUUAACGAGGAACAAUUGGAGGGCAAGUCUGGU
rnacentral:rRNA from 1 species